rnacentral:lncRNA from 1 species
AUGAGUGUGGGUCCGCGACUCCUAUCGAUCCUUGAAGACUUGGGGGACCGCGAGCUGGACACCUUCGCUUACUACCUGUCGUGCUUGCCGGAAGAUGCUCGGCGCAUCCCUCGCUCAAGGCUUGAGAAUAUCUCCGCAGUCAAACUUGCUGACCUGAUCAUGCGAUUCUACCCUGAGAGAGAGUUGGGAGUCACCGCCCAGAUACUCGAGAAGAUGCACAGGCGCGAUCUCCUCAAGGCACUCAGAUGUGACACGCAAGCAGCAGAUCCCCAUCCCGGGGGGGCUAAUGGCGGAGGACAGAUUCCGAGUAGGGAAGCCCCAGAAAGGCCAGUUCCAUCCGAACUUAUCUCUCAGGCACAGAUGAUGACAUUGGCCAAAAACAUGGGCAAGACAUGGAAGCAGAUUGGGAUUCAGUUCCUAGGAAUGAAAAAAGAAAAACUGGAGCAGAUUGAAUUGGAAAAUCACAAUGACGUGCCCAUGCAAAUCUUCCACAUGCUGUGUGCUUGGAAAAACCGCGAGAGAGGACAGGCUACUGCAGCUGAGCUGUACCGCAUCCUCAACCAGGAAGGUGUGCCUCUUGAGUACGAAGCUUAUGGAUUCCUAAUGGGGAAUGACUGAAAAUGUAUUUAAAUGUAUUUGAGGGAUAGACAGGAAAUGGACUUCUCUAAAGCCCCAGUCAGAUGGGGGGACUAUAGUGCCAUUAUGUCGCCACUGUGGUGGGAUUGCCACACAUGUGUGUGGCAGUCCCACCAUAGCUAUGCUACACACACCCCUAAAAUACAUGAUAGCCUAUUUCGGGAAAAUCCGACUCUGAUGGCGGGUUUCCCAAAAUAGUGCUUUCAGUUAUGUUGUAGACGGACUCACCAUUGUUGUUCUGGCCACCGCGCAUGCAUGUGGGCUGAAAAAAGACAGCCGUGCAUGCGCGGUGGUGGCGUCACGCACAUCCACCAUGCACGUUUGUGCACUUCCAGGUAUUUCGUGAUGUCUAGCCAACAGGUGAUCAUUCCAGAGAGGCUUUUCUCUGGAACACUGCCUGUUGGNGCUAUAUUCAGCUGGCAUCUGGAGCCGGCCAAACAUUCAUAUUCACUUGAUAUAAAAAGCCAUGUGUGCCGAUGGUGCUGGAACAAUAGAUUAACAGGCGUCAUAUGGAGAAUUGUUAACAGUUGUAACCCCUAUCAUAGGGAAUAAAGAAGGACAUAAUGUGAGGCA